rnacentral:rRNA from 1 species
GAUGAACGCUGGCGGCGUGCCUAACACAUGCAAGUCGAGCGAUUUACUUCGGUAAAGAGCGGCGGACGGGUGAGUAACGCGUGGGUAACCUGCCCUGUACACAUGGAUAACAUACCGAAAGGCAUGCUAAUACGAGAUAAUAUACUUUUAUCGCAUGGUAGAAGUAUCAAAGCUCCGGCGGUACAGGAUGGACCCGCGUCUGAUUAGCUAGUUGGUAAGGUAACGGCUUACCAAGGCGACGAUCAGUAGCCGACCUGAGAGGGUGAUCGGCCACAUUGGAACUGAGACACGGUCCAAACUCCUACGGGAGGCAGCAGUGGGGAAUAUUGCACAAUGGGCGAAAGCCUGAUGCAGCAACGCCGCGUGGAGGACGAAGCCCUUCGGGUGGUAAACUCCUUUUCUUCAGGGAAAAAGGAAUGAUGGUACCUGAGGAAUAAGCCCCGGCUAACUAACGUGCCAGCAGCAGCGGUAAAAGUCAACGUCG